rnacentral:rRNA from 1 species
GGAGAGUUUGAUCCUGGCUCAGGACGAACGCUGGCGGCGUGCUUACACAUGCAAGUCGAACGGUAAGGCCCCUUCGGGGGUACACGAGUGGCGAA